rnacentral:misc_RNA from 1 species
GGAGGAUUAAAAAAAAGAAGGAAUAAAUGAUAAAAGGAAAAAAGAAGAGGAAAAAAAAUUAUAAUAAUACACAUUUUAGGUUGCAGCAGGCAAAAAUAAAAUUCUCAUAAUGAAGGUUCCCAUUCUCUGAUAGAUAAAUACCCUUCAGCUUCUUGCCAGCAUCUAGUUACACUUCCUUUUGGCGGCAGCACAGUGGAUCCGAUGCUCGGUGAUGAAAGCUAUAACCCUUGGAGAUGCCUUGAGCAUGAACCAUUCUACAGCAAGCAGCUACAAAAAUAUCGUGACUCGGAAUGCUCAAUUAAAUCACAUUAUAACACUGAAUUUUCUUUAUCCGAAAGGAUUUCCUCCAGAAGAAGAGAAGGUGUUCUGGGUAGGGGGUGCAGAAUAUAAUCCACCCGACUGCUGGUUCGAGUUUAGACCUCCAAAAGCAACCCCAUCAAAGCCAAAACUUGCUACUCCUGGUGGUCUCUGUGGCAUGCUACCAGCUACUUGAUGCCCCAUGUAUGAGCCUGGUGGAAUUGCUGAUGCAUAAGAUGGUGCUUGCUGAGGCAUUGCCGGAGGAUAAGUUGGGGCACCGAGGCUGGAUGUAUGCAGCAAUCCAGUUGGAGCUGCCAUGUUUGGUAGUGCACCUUGUAAUGAUGACAUUGAUGGAAACGUUGGAGCUUGUGAAGUUGGUUCAUUUAUGACAUCAAAAGGGUUUGUUGUUUUUGAUGGUUGUGGAAAAGCAUUUGUAGCCAUUGACAUGUUGUACUGCAUCGCGAAUCCAUAGCCUUGCUGUGGACCAGCAUGCCAGCCUGGAAAAGCUCCAGGAAUUGAAGGAUAGUUUACAGCAAACAAAUCCGCAGGCAGUUCUUUUCUUCCAAUAGAUUUGAUUUCAACAGAAGAAGCUUGAGAUGCAACUGCAGAAGUGGCUUCCUGAAGGACAGGGUUUACAGCUUGAGGAACUUGUGCAGUUGCUGAACUAGGAAAACCAAGAGUGCUUGGGGAAACUGAAGAAUUCCAUUGCUGAUUGCCAGAAGGUCCACCAGCAGCUGGAGUAGAAAGCUGCGAUAUAGCUUGUUGGCCAGUCACAGGAAACAAGGAAGUCUGCUGAGGUUGCAUAUUAGACCAGUGUCCACCAUGAGUAUUUGCAAAGGCAUUACCACCACUAACUGGCAGUAUUGAUGUCUGUUCAGUGGGUGCAGCUGGAGCACCACCAAGUGGAAAUGCUGCUGAGUUGUCCAUAGUUGCAGCUCCAGGAGCAAAACUACUGAAGGGGGUGAAUGGAGCUGCACUACCACCAGGACUUCCUGAAGGAGCAGUUGCAGUUGCUGGAGCUGUCAACUCUGAGAAUACAGUCUCCAGUAGAUUGGUAUUUGAAGGAGCUGGAGAUGCUUUAACCUCUGCAAAUGAAUCAAAGUUCGCCCAGUUGUCAGCAGCAGAUUUCGUUGGUUGAGCAACGGGCAUGACCGUAACAGAUUGUUGUAUUUGUGGUGCGGGUGCAGAAGCUGGGGGUUCAGGAACAUCAUCAAAAUCAAUUAAUGAGGUUUCGGUCUUGAGUUCAACAGGGUUCCCAUUGGAGGACGCCAAACUACUGGAAGAUGCAGUCCUCUGAGUCCGCAU